rnacentral:rRNA from 1 species
CACGUAGGGCGCAAGCGUUGUCCGGAAUCAUUGGGCGUAAAGCGCGCGUAGGUGGCUUCGUAAGUCCGUUGUGAAAGUCAAAGGCUCAACCUUUGAAAGCCGAUGGAUACUGCGGAGCUAGAGUACGGAAGAGGCGAGUGGAAUUCCUGGUGUAGCGGUGGAAUGCGCAGAUAUCAGGAGGAACACCAAUAGCGAAGGCAGCUCGCUGGGACGUUACUGACACUGAGGCGCGAAAGCGUGGGGAGCGAACAGG